AGUUUGAUCAUGGCUCAGAUUGAACGCUGGCGGGAUUAUUUACAUGCAAGUCGAACGGCAGCACGGACUCGGUCUGGUGGCGAGUGGCGACAGAUUUGAGUAAUGUAUCGGAACGUUAAAUGGCAAGGAUAACUACGCGAAAGCGUAGCUAAUACGCUACACCAUCAGAAGCAGGGGACAGCUUCGGGCUCACUCGACAGCCGAUAUCGGAUUAGCUAAGUUGGUGGGAGUAACGGCUCGCAAGGCGGCGAUCCAUGUGGUUUGAAGGACGACCAGCCACACUGGGACUGAGACGGCCCAGACUCCUGCGAGGCAGCAGUGGGGAAUUUUGGACAAUGGGGGAAACCUGAUCCAGCCAUCCGCGUGUGCGAUGAAGGCCUUCGGUUCGUAAAAGCACUUUUUGGCAGAAAAAACGGCACGGGAUAAUACCCCGUGCAGCUGACGAAUACCUGCAGAAUAAGCACCGGCUCUUCGCAUUGCCAGCAACCGCGGUAAUACGUAGGGUGCAAGCGAUCAUCGGAAUUACUGGGCGUAAAGCGUGCGCAGGCGGUUCGGAAAGAAAAGAUGUGAAAUCCCAGAAGCUUAACUUUGGAGCUACAUUUUUGCUGCACAAAUAGAAGAGUGUGUCAAAGGGAGGUGGAAUUCCGCCGAUAUGUGAAGUGAAAUGCGUAGAUAUGCGGAGAGACACCGAUGGCGAAGGCAGCCUCCUGGGAUAACAUGACGCUCAUGCACAGCGUAGGGAGCAAACAGGAUUAGAUACCUGGUAGUCCGCCUAAACGAUGUCAGCUAGCUGUUGGGGCCUUCGGGCCUUGGUGACGCAACUAACGCGUGAAGUUGACCGCCUGGGAAGUACAGUCACUUAAGAUUAAAACUCAAGGUGUGUGGGGACCCGCACAAGCGGUGGAUGAUGUGGAUUAAUUCAAUUAUAACGCGAAGAGCCUUACCUACCCUUGACAUGUCUGGGAAUCCCAAAGAGAUUUGGGGAGUGCUCGCAGAGAGAACCGGAACACAGGUGCUGCAUGGCUGUCGUCAGCUCGUGUCGUGAGAUGUUGGGUUAAGUCACAACGACGCAACCCUUGUCGUGAAUUUGUAAAAGGCACUCUAAUGAGACUGCCGGUGACAAACCCGGAGGAAGGUGAGGAUGACGUCAUGAAGUCCUCGCCGGCCUUAUGGGUAAGACUACGUCAUACUGCAAUAGGUCGGAACAGAGAGGGUCGCCAACACACUGAGGAGCCAAUCCCAAAGCCCGAUCGUAGUCGGAUGCGCAGUCUGCAACUCGACUGCGUGAAGUCGAAUCUUCGUAAUCGCGGAUCAGCAUGUCGCGGUGAAUGCGUUCCCGGGUCUUGUACACCGCCCGUCACACCAUGGGAGUGGAAUUUACCAGAAGUAGUUAGCCUAACCGUAGGAGGGCAGUUACCACAUUAGGAUUCAUGACUGAGGUGAAGUCGUAACAAGGUAA
rnacentral:rRNA from 1 species